GAGAGGUGUAUUCUGCUAUGAGAGCGCGGAGAGCUCGCGCUCUCUACGGCUUUCUGAGGGGAACGAGAGAUCCUAAUUGAUGCUGCCGGCGGAAAGUGCGCGCUGCAGGGCGACGGCGCAGUCACAUGCGCCCAUCAAAGCCUCUGCUGCAAGCGGGAGGAACCUGGCAGUGACAGGCCGAAUCAAGGCCUACACAGGAAGGAGUACUGGAAGGACUGAGGAGAUCUUGUCUUAAUGUACAGACAGACCAGGAGGCAAGCUGGCAGCAGAGAGAGGCCACCUUGGGCAUAAGAGGUGAGGCCUACUCUUAACAUCACACCUCCAGCUAACCCCACCCCCAAUCUCCAGCUUCAGCUAGACAUUCUCAAAUUGAAUUAAGGUCCUGUUCUGUGCUGCACCCCCACGGACCCCUUCGAGAGCCCUCCUGAACCCCCUUGGCCCGGUCCUGUUCCCCUCAUCCAGCCGCCUCGGACUAAUUAAAACCGAUGUGGCCUUGUCUUUGCUGGAUUAACCCUAACGAGGAUUCACUGACUCCACCAGCAUGUGCCUCUUGAUGAGAGAGAGAGAGACAGAGACAGAGACAGAGAUAGACAGAAAAAUAAAUGGGAGGAUUUGUCCCGGCAACCUUAGCCUUGAAACCCAACACUUAAUUCACUACAGAUGAUACAGAAAAGGUGGAAGAGAGAGAGAUAGAGACAAAUAUACUUAUGUUGAUAGUUGAAAUCACUAGUGUGUGUAGUGUUUUAAAAACUGUUAGUGAAACAAUUGAAACGUGGCCUUAUUGUGAAAAGAGUCAUAAAAUGGACCUCUGGUCAGCCCUCUAUGAUUCCAUUUGAUUCCAUCAUACAGAGAGAUGAAUGCCAAUUCUCUUUCUUUCUUUGUGUGUGUGUGUGUGUGUGUGCCAGGGGCAGAGAAAAAUUAAAUUCUCUGUCUUUGAUAAUGCAUUAAUAAUAAAAUGCAAUGUUA